rnacentral:lncRNA from 1 species
AAAUAACCAAAUCUUCAGGCUACUUCUGUAAAGAACCCAAAAUAGGGGAGUGGUGCUGACUGUAGCUGUGGUAGGCCAGGGAGCAUGACUUGCUUGGCAAUCUCUUUACUGGACAGACUUCAUCAUUGUGAGACACGAGGUGACUUGAGGAAAGGCCUUUGGGGCUGUUACCAAACAAACCCUGGUUCUUCUAAACUAAGGUCCCUUGGGAGGAGACUGCCCUGGAUGCAGCCUUGCUAGAGAGCACUGAAAGGCACGGUACAGACCCAAUGCCUGUGUCAUAUGCACGCACGAUACCAACACAGAGCCUCUUUACAAUCCAUCUGUUGAACAUUUGCUCACAAAUCCUUAAUAACAAAAUGCACCAAAUAACAUAACCCCAAACAGAAACCUACACAGUGGUUGUUGGAAGUGCAUGUAUUUCUCAGAGGAGCUGCCAUUCCUCUUGGUGACUAAGAGCUUAAAAGGACAAGAAAUGCAAAAAUGUGCAAAUAAGACCCAGUGUGGGUCUUUACGUGGGACGUGAUGGAGUUGCUACUCCAGCAGUAAGCAGGAUUUCAGCCUUGCACUAAGUGAGACCAACACUUCUCUGAGCAGGCACCAGAGGGCAUAGCAGAUCUGAUUUGAUGAAGGCAAGAGCUCAGCUCAGGAGAGCCUUGCAACUCAUAUGGCUCCAAUUUUAUUGGGGUGGGGUAUUUUUUUUUUUAAUUUGUUUUCUGCUUUCGCUUGGCUCUGCCUUGCAUAGAAGGCGUUUGUCUCCACGCAGUGCAACUGGCUGUACCAGGUAGAGAGCAAAAGGAGAAAGGAGGUCCCUGAUAUUUUGCUCCUCUCAUCAGUCUACUUCAGAAAGAAAAUGAGCUUUGAUUUCUUCUGUGAAGCAAUGGAGAAAACUUGAGGAACAGGCAUAAAACCCAGAAGGGUUGCAAUGAAAAUUGCCAUGUCUAGUCAGGGCUGAUUGAAUAAGGUGGAAAAAAAAGGAAUAUGUCAAACAAGCACCGCAAGAAGUGCCAGCCAUUUGUCACAUGUGUUGCUUGGCAAAUAUUAUUUAACCAUCUCUGUUUCUGAGAUGAAAUGCACAGUGCAGGAGAUUUGUAGCAGGAAGAAGGCUCAGACUUGGAUCUUACAUGAUGUAUUUGUUCACUGCCGUGGCUGCAAGGUAUUCCUUCAUGUCCCCCCAGAGAUGUGGGCCCCAGGGUUUCAGCAAUGCAGAUGCAAGUAAUUUAGGAGCUUACCCUCCUGUCUUUUUUAUUUUGGUCAGUUAAAUAGUUAACAGUUUCCUCAGAAGAAACAUCCAUUGAAAAGUAGAGGCCAGUUCACAGCAGGGCACCCUGGUUUCAGACCCUUUGUAACGUGCACUCUUUACAUCUCCCAUCCUCAGUUUGCAUUUUAAAGGUGAAGCAGGGACUGGUUUGGGUUCAGUGAAAGCUGAGAGCAAGCCAGGCCGUC